ACUUCAGGUUAUGAUUGAUUUCCAAGCAGCUGAAAAGAAGAGAGUUGAAGAACCUGCUUCUGAUAUUGGUCUGGAACCUCUAUGCGCUAUGAUAAACAACAACCUUCGCUGCUAUGACCUUGCCAUGGAGUUGAGUAA